UACGUAGGGGGCAAGCGUUGUCCGGAAUCAUUGGGCGUAAAGAGCGCGUAGGCGGUCCGGUAAGUCCGCUGUGAAAGUCAAGGGCUCAACCCUUGAAUGCCGGUGGAUACUGUCGGGCUAGAGUCCGGAAGAGGCGAGUGGAAUUCCUGGUGUAGCGGUGAAAUGCGCAGAUAUCAGGAGGAACACCGAUGGCGAAGGCAGCUCGCUGGGACGGUACUGACGCUGAGGCGCGAAAGCGUGGGGAGCAAACAGG
rnacentral:rRNA from 1 species